rnacentral:rRNA from 1 species
UACAGAGGUGGCAAGCGUUGUUCGGAAUUACUGGGCGUAAAGCGCACGUAGGCGGCUUUGUAAGUUAGAGGUGAAAGCCCGGGGCUCAACCCCGGAAUUGCCUUUAAGACUGCAUCGCUAGAAUUGUGGAGAGGUAAGUGGAAUUCCGAGUGUAGAGGUGAAAUUCGUAGAUAUUCGGAAGAACACCAGUGGCGAAGGCGGCUCACUGGACCGGUAUUGACGCUGAGGUGCGAAAGCGUGGGGAGCAAACAGG